rnacentral:rRNA from 1 species
CCUACGGGAGGCAGCAGUGAGGAAUAUUGGUCAAUGGACGCAAGUCUGAACCAGCCAUGCCGCGUGCAGGAAGAAGGCUCUAUGAGUUUAAAACUCUUUUUGUACGAGGGAAAAAGAAGAUACGCGUAUCAGACUGAAAGUCUCGUACGAUUAAGGAUCGGCUAACUCCGUGCCAGCAGCCGGGGUAAUCCGGAGGUUGCAAGCGUAAUCCGGAUUUAUUGGGUUGAAAGGGUGCGUAGGCGGUCGGAUAAGUUAGAGGUGAAAUCCCGAGGCUAAACUUCGGAAUUGCCUCUGAUACUGUUUGGCUAGAGAGCAGUUGCGGUAGGCGGAAUGUAUGGUGUAGCGGUGAAAUGCUUAGAGAUCAUACAGAACACCGAUUGCGAAGGCAGCUUACCAAGCUACUACUGACGUUGAGGCACGAAAGCGUGGGGAGCAAACAGGAUUAGAUACCCGAGUAGUC